GCCUGCCUGCCACCUCUCACUACCUGGGUCACUUUGGUAACAUUACUUUGCUUCUCAGCUGCCUCGGUUUCCUCAUCAUGGUGAGAGCGCUGUGCCGAGCAUUCCAAGGAGCCAGGUGCAGGGGGCCCUGCCGAGUGACUGCCACCAUUGUUACCAGCUGCCCUCCGUCAAGACACUAGGAAGUGCUCACUUAUCCAAUCCCCACCCCUGGCCUCUCAGGGAGUGUUCCUGACCCCAGUUCAGAUGGGAACCCCUCUGUGGUUGACAUCUCCAUGGCCACCCAGGUCCUGAGAGGGACUUGGACCCGGGACCCGUCUGCACAGCCAUCACAUGGCUCUGCCUUUGCAGGUUCAAGUUCCAGAGCUGGUGCCAGGUCUUCUGCGGAAGCUCUGCAUCCCGCCCACAGCAAGCCGCCAAGCCUAUCUGGCGGUCGCAUUCCACAGGUGGACAGGUCCGGAAAGAACCUCCGCCCACUGGGUUUGUACUCCAGGGACUCAACAGAGACAAAAGGCCACUUGUCCAGGCUGCAGGCUGCAGGCUGCAAGGGUCACCGCAGGCAGAGUCCCUGCCCUGCAGGCCCUGUUCAUGUUGCUGGAUGUCCGAGCACCUGGCUCCACCUGUGGCAAACAUCCCAACAAUACCCAGGCACAGAAGGACAGUGGGGCUUGGGGAGCUUCAGGAGCUCGCCCAAGGACACACAACGUGGAAGGACAAGGGCCCAGGACCCAGGUGUGCCCAAGGCUCCUGCAAUUUGGUUGGACCUCGCUGGGCCUCCCAGACAGAACUGCAGCUCCUGCUGUGUAGGGAACCAGCCCGACCAUGUGACCAGGCAUUGGCCAUCCUCUAGGACAAAGGCACGAGCCUGGGCACUGGGGAAUCCCCAAACUCACAGACAAGGUCCCUGAAUGACAAGCAGUGGGGCGUGGCGGGUAUGACUGUGCGAAUCACCACAGCCACACGCCCGCCUCAGCAGAGCCGGCCCAGCUGCAGGCAGACAGACAGCCACGUGCUCAGAGUCAAGGACCCAGUCCACAGCACAGUAAGUGCUGACCCAGCCACAGUCGGCUGGAGAGGACCCCUGUCUCUGCAGAGCAAGUGCUCUGGUGGCCAGCCUUGCCCGCAGCCAGAGAAGUCUCCAGAACAGGACACAGCUGCAGGGGAGCCAGCUGGAGCGUCCUGCCCUGAGCAGAACACAAACUCCCACAAAGCUGAGCAGAAAGCCUGUGUGACUGCCCAGGGACCCUGGGUCCCAUAGGCAGGCAACUGCAGGGCCUGACUAUAUCCCCUCCCAGUGCCUGAGCCCCAUGGCCUCACAGGGAAGGGUAGAGCAGACGAUUGUUUACCAAUCUGUUUGCCCUUCCCCAAAAUAGAUUCUUGCCCAAGGGUGUUCCAACUCCCAGGGCUGCUGGCCUGGCCUGGACUUCCAAACCUGCUGUCUGCUGGAGCCCUCUGUGGGAGGUGCCCCUGAAUGAGAUAAUGACAUGGGCAACUCUUACCAGAAAGAAAGCCCAAGAGCUACAAAGGCAGCUGUUGACCAAGGAGUUUUAGCAACUGAGAAGAAACAGGCUCCACCUCAGCUCACAGCUCAGCUCAGCGGUCACCUGUGGGUCUUUCCCACCUGUCCCCUGUUCCCAUCCUCUUGGGUCCUUCCUGGGUGCCCUCACCAUGAGCACCCUGUCCCUGAGUCCAAGUUGUAGUCACCAGAGGAUUCCAAGGAAAGCUCCUAAAGUGGUGAGCCUGGGCCAGGAGGGCAGCUCUGGCCUGUCACUCCACCUAUGUUGCCAGGCAGGCUGCAGGAGCUGCACCCACAGAGGAAACGACCCGCAACGAGACAGCAACAACAAACCAAAGCGGGCGGACUAUUUUUAUCCUUCCAGAGAUUCGCAGCCGAGACCCUGGCUGCUGAAGGGCGCCCCAGACUUUGAGCAGAUUUCUCUCCCGCGGUCACCUUGAGACCUUCCCUCCUCCAGCCUCCCCCUCGCCCUCCUAGGGGAGCCGGGAAAGUGGAUCAGGUCAGAGCAAAGUACUCUUCACCCUGCCACCUCCACUGGAAAAAGAAUUAGUCGCCAAGUAUUCAGAAUGGGUCACUGCCACCUGAAUCAAUAAGGGGACAGCGGAUACCACUGGAGAGCUGGCCCCUCUUAACCCCAGCUCCAGGCUCCACCCAGGCUGUGCCCAGACUCCCACCAGCUGCCAGCAGAAGAGAGCUGACAGCCUGGGCUGCCCUACACCUGGGUCAGCCAGACGCACUGUGGUGAGUCCCCUUCAUCUCCUGUCACACACACACGUGUGCACACAUGCACUCCAACACAUGUGCACACACAUUCAGAACACCACACACACACACACCCCAGACGUGUACACGAUUCCCACAGGCACGCACAUGCCACACACUCACACCACACACACAUGCACAGUCUCACACCCACACAUGCACAUACACACCACACACACCAGGAUCACCUGAGAGCUGCAAGGGGAACGCAUCGAGCCAGGAUGCUCACGGGACUUCCCACAAGCUCCCGGAAGGCCCCAGCUCUGAGGUGCACCCAGGAAGGCUGAGAGGAGACUGGACACCCCUGGUCUCCACCCACCCCUCCCUGAGACACGCAGCAUUCAGGAUCACCUCCAGAGAGGCCCUUGGCCCCAGCCCAAUCACUACCUUGCUGCAUGACCUCCAAGAAAUCUCCUCACCUCUUUAAAUCUGGGGCUGUGCCAGCGCAAGAAGGGCAAUUUGAUGUGGUCAUCUGAACAGUGGUGAGGCAGUGCCCUCCAAGACGCUCCAGUCCAAGUGUGGGGUCAUCACAGUCCCCACCCUGCUCUUCAGCCCCUGCCCCUCCAACCCUGCAAAAGUACCCAACCUUAUUUGAAUCAGUGCUGUGGACUCGGCCUCCCCUUAAAGAACUCAGGGCUCUCUGGAGACGUCUCAAUGUCAUAGGCAGCUUAGCCCAAAGAAAUCCAGCCUCUGGAACUGCCAUCAGUCCCAAGGAGAAACUGGCAGCAUCAGGACAGGCCGCCUGAGUGGCAUUUGCCUCCACGUAAAGCGGGCACAGUAAAUUAAGUGGGUUCGCAUGCGGCACAGAGUUCAGCUCCCAUGUUUGAAGCUCAGUUACACCUAAGCAGUUCUCACAUCUGUACGUGGAGAGCAACCUUGUAUUUCUCUAAUAAAAACACAGUAAUCAUUUCA
rnacentral:lncRNA from 1 species